rnacentral:misc_RNA from 1 species
UUUCCGUAGGUGAACCUGCGGAAGGAUCAUUCAUAAUAAAGUGUUUUAUGGCACUUUUUAAAAAUCCAUAUCCACCUUGUGUGCAAUGUUAGAUCUCGUCAAUCUUGGCGAGAUUUCUAGACAUCAACUCAUUCUUUAACUAAUUUGUCUGAAAAAUAUUAUGAAUACUUAAUUCAAAAUACAACUUUCAACAACGGAUCUCUUGGCUCUC